AUUGAACGCUGGCGGCAUGCCUUACACAUGCAAGUCGAACGGCAGCGGACCUUCGGGUGCCGGCGAGUGGCGAACGGGUGAGUAAUAUAUCGGAACGUACCUUUCAGUGGGGGAGUAACGUAGCGAAAGUUACGCUAAUACCGCAUAUUCUGUGAGCAGGAAAGCAGGGGAUCGCAAGACCUUGCGCUGAUUGAGCGGCCGAUAUCAGAUUAGCUAGUUGGUGAGGUAAAGGACUCACCAAGGCGACGAUCUGUAGCGGGUCUGAGAGGAUGAUCCGCCACACUGGAACUGAGACACGGUCCAGACUCCUACGGGAGGCAGCAGU
rnacentral:rRNA from 1 species